UAAAACUGUUUCAUCAUUUAAAGAUAGAUUCAAGUCAAGAUUUUGCCGAUUUAGAAGUAUUUUAGAUAAAAAGUUACUUAGGUUCGCUAGGAAGGUUCUCUACAACAGAGCCGUCCUAAAAAGUACUGCUUUAAGAUGGCGGCUGUCUACUAACUCAUUUAGUGCCAUGUCUGUCAUUUUGCAUCUAGUUAUAUCUAUGUACAGUACACGUGAUAUCUAUCAAGUCUACCAUAUCUACCAUAACAUGCGCGCGUAGUUUGUACUAGCUAUCGGCUACAACAUGUAUUAUUGGAGCUACCUAGCAUCGCGUUUGCUCGGCGUCACAACUUUCUUGCCUCCUCCAUACUCCUGCUCUGUCGUCUCGAUUGUUGCAGUGGUGAUGUGGAGCAAGUACACCAAGCCAUGCUUCCACUACUGCUGCUGCUGCUGUCUGCUGGUGGCUCUUCACCCCGCUCCAUCUUACACUCAUAGGCAAAUAGGUACUGGAUGUAGUGCUUCUUGAGUGAGCUGGCUGAGCUGCUGGAGGUUCCCACGCUCAGUGUGGUG